rnacentral:rRNA from 1 species
AUUGAACGCUGGCGGCAGGCCUAACACAUGCAAGUCGAACGAGUGGCGGACGGGUGAGUAAUGUCGGGGAAACUGCCUGAUGGAGGGGGAUAACUACUGGAAACGGUAGCUAAUACCGCAUACCAUCAGAUGUGCCCAGAUGGGAUUAGCUUGGUGGUGGGGUAACGGCUCACCAAGGCGGCGAUCCCUCGCUGGUCUGAGAGGAUGACCCGCCACACUGGAACGGUAACACGGUCCAGAAUCCUACGGGAGGCAGCAGUGGUGAAUAUUGCACAAUGGGCGCAAGCCUUAUACAGCCAGGCCGCGUGUAUGAAGAAGGCCUUCGGGUUGUAAAGUACUUUCAGCGGGGAGGCGUUACCCGCAGAAGAAGCACCGGCUAACUCCGUGCCAGCCGCCGCGGUAAUAC